CAAUCUGUGUGUAUUCAAAACGCGUCCUAACGAUUCCAUUCCAAGCAUUAUUGUUAACGUUGCUUUUUAUAAAAAAUAAUAAUAUGUUGUUUUUUGUCCAAAUAAACUUAUUACAUUUGUAUCCUCUAUUAAAAAUUAUUAACAUACAACAUGUUUUUAUGCCAUAAUAUCUUUUCUUCUUCUCAGUCGUACACUCCUGGCGGAGUGGUCGUGGUUACGUAUAUCUUAAUGCUUGGUUGCGGCUUUUGAGAGACUUCUCCAAUUCCUUCUAUUUGUGGCGAAAGAAAGAAAAAAAAAACGCAAGCAUAGCAACUUUCACUCGAUGCCGAUGACACAACGGAUCCUUUUGCGGAGUCAUCAAAAUUGAAUUUUAGAAAAUCUUCAUUUUUUAGAGAUUUUUUUGUUUUGUUUUGAUUUUUUUCACUCUGGCAAUUCGAGACGCUACAUAAUUAAAGAGGCACAAAAUAUAAGUCCUCUCACCUAAACAAUAAAAAAAGAACGUUAUAUCUACAAAUUUUUAUUAAAUAAAUAUUUGACAUCUACUUUAA